GCUCCUAGUGGCCAACCGGUACAACCAUCUUUUUUGUCUCCCACCGGUCAACAUGCACAGCAACCCUUUUCAGCUCAUGCCGGUCAACCUGGACAGCAAUCCUUUUCAGCUCAUGCCGGUCAACCUGGACAGCAAUCCUUUUCAGCUCAUGCCGGUCAACCUGGACAGCAAUCCUUUUCAGCACCUCCAAGUGGCCAACCAGUGCAACCACCUUUUGUAUCUCCCACCAGCCGACAUGUACAGCAACCCUUUUCAGCUCAUGGUGGUCAAC
rnacentral:lncRNA from 1 species